GACAGACUGACAGACAGACAGACAGCUGGCAAGAGGCAGCCUGGGGGCCACAGCUGCUUCAGCAGACCUCAUGGCUGAGUGAGCCUCACUUGGGCCCAGCACCCCACCCCAGCAUGGUCCAAGCCCAUGGGGGGCGCUCCAGAGCACAGCCGCUGACCUUGUCUUUGGGGGCAGCCAUGACCCAGCCUCCGCCUGCCAAAACGCCAGCCAAGAAGCAUGUGCGGCUGCAGGAGAGGCGGGGCUCCAAUGUGGCUCUGAUGCUGGACGUUCGGUCCCUGGGGGCCGUAGAACCCAUUUGCUCCGUGAACACACCCCGGGAGGUCACCCUACACUUUCUGCGCACUGCUGGACACCCCCUUACCCGCUGGGCCCUUCAGCGCCAGCCACCCAGCCCCAAGCAACUGGAAGAAGAAUUCUUGGUAAGAAAUUGGGGUCCCCUCCGAAUCGCUCUGCCCUCUGUAUCAGAGGCAGCCAGCUGGAACCAUUCUCUCACGGGCACCCUGGGCAAGUCUCCUCUUUGGGCCCCUUAGGAAAGAGAACUUCAGGGCCAAGGGAGGGGCUGCCCCCAGGCUU
rnacentral:sRNA from 1 species